GAUGAACGCUGGCGGCGUGCCUAAUACAUGCAAGUCGAGCGAACAGACGAGGAGCUUGCUCCUUUGACGUUAGCGGCGGACGGGUGAGUAACACGUGGGUAACCUACCUAUAAGACUGGGAUAACUUCGGGAAACCGGAGCUAAUACCGGAUAAUAUUUCGAACCGCAUGGUUCGAUAGUGAAAGAUGGCUCUGCUAUCACUUAUAGAUGGACCUGCGCCGUAUUAGCUAGUUGGUAAGGUAACGUCUUACCAAGGCAACGAUACGUAGCCGACUUGAGAGGGUGAUCUGCCACACUGGAACUGAGACACGGUCCAGACUCCUAGGGGAGGUAGCGGUAGGGAAUCUUCCGCAAUGGGCGAUAGCCUGACGGAGCAACGCCGCGUGAGUGAUGAUGGUCUUCGGAUCGUAAAACACUGUUAUUAGGGAAGAACAAACGUGUAAGUAACUGUGCACGUCUUGACGGUACCUAAUCAGAAAGCCACGGCUAACUACGUG
rnacentral:rRNA from 1 species